rnacentral:rRNA from 1 species
CCUACGGGAGACAGCAGUGGGGAAUUUUGGACAAUGGGCGAAAGCCUGAUCCAGCCAUGCCGCGUGAGUGAAGAAGGCCUUCGGGUUGUAAAGCUCUUUCGGCCGGGACGAAAUCGCACGAGUGAAUAUCGCGUGUGGAUGACGGUACCGGCAGAAGAAGGACCGGCUAACUACGUGCCAGCAGCCGUGGUAAUACGUAGGGUCCGAGCGUUAAUCGGAAUUACUGGGCGUAAAGCGUGCGCAGGUGGUUUUGUAAGCCAGAUGUGAAAGCCCCGGGCUUAACCUGGGAACUGCAUUUGGGACUGCAAGGCUAGAGUACGGCAGAGGGGGGUAGAAUUCCUGGUGUAGCAGUGAAAUGCGUAGAUAUCAGGAGGAGUACCGAUGGCGAAGGCAGCCCCCUGGGUCGAUACUGACGCUCAUGCACGAAAGCGUGGGGAGCAAACAGGAUUAGAUACCCUGGUAGUCCACGCCCUAAACGAUGUCAACUAGUUGUUGGGGGCCUUACCGGCCCUUAGUAACGCAGCUAACGCGUGAAGUUGACCGCCUGGGGAUACGGUCGCGAAGAUUAAAACCUUAAAUGAAUUGACGG